rnacentral:rRNA from 1 species
AUUGAACGCUGGCGGCAGGCCUAACACAUGCAAGUCGAACGAGUGGCGGACGGGUGUGUAAUGUCUGGGAAACUGCCUGAUGGAGGGGGAUAACUUCUGGAAACGGUAGCUAAUACCGCAUACCAUCAGAUGUUCCCAGAUGGGAUUAGCUUGUUGGGGGGGUAACGGCUCACCAAGGCGACGAUCCCUAGCUGAUCUGAGAGGAUGACCAGCCACCCGGGAACGGGGACGCGGUCCAGACGCCUACGGGAGGGAGCAGUGGGGAAUAUGGCGCAAUGGGCGCAAGCCUGAUGCAGCCAGGCCGCGUGUAUGGAGGAGGCCUUCGGGUUGUAAAGUACUUUCAGCGGGGAGGCGUUACCCGCAGAAGAAGCACCGGCUAACUCCGUGCCAGCAGCCGCGGUAAUAC